rnacentral:ncRNA from 2 species
CAAUUUCAAAUUCUCCGAACUCUCUUAUCUAAGUCCUGAAUAAGGAUAUGAUGGAUAGUCCGUAAGGUGUCCAGGGAAAUCUGUAUGCCGCCUGUAAUUGGAAAGGAUAUAAUGUUCCGCAAAG